ACACCUUCACACCAAUUAAAAUUGGUGGAAAUAAAUUGUUGAACUAAGCGUGCAGAAAAAAAAAUCAAAACGCACGUUGUUGUCGUUUGGACGUCAGACUUGGAAUGAUAGAUGUCACCUACUCCCAUUGCGCCAUCCCCCCCGUCAUGUGACGUGCUGACGUCAGGAUACCUGGUUCCCAAGUUGCUAACCUUGGUUAUUGCAUAACCUCAUACAAAAUUUAAUGUACAGUGUUGUUAUCUCGCACAGAUGAAAAUUCAAACAUGUCACCAAAGAAUGUGUGUGGGUGCAUGUGUUUUGAAAGAGUUCUUGGAAAUCUCAACUGUGUACUGAUAUUUACUGUACCUCUUAAACCGCCCAUACCUAUGUAGCGUCAAACCUAAUAAUUACUCUAUAUGGUAUUUCCUACUCGAAAUUAAGUCCAAUUUUUCCAACAUUAUCGCCACCAAAGAAUGUGUGUGAGUGUGUUUUGAAAGAGUUCUUGGAAAUGUCAACUGUAUACUGACAUUUAAAUACUUGUACCUCCUUGAACAGCCCAUACUUAUGUACUUAUACCGCCCAUCAAAUAAUUACUCACUCUGGUAUUUCCUACUCCAAUCUCAACUUGUGAAACAAAAUGUUUUUAUUAUUAACAAAUAAAAGAACUCUUGGGUCGUUGACGUAACACACUCUCCUCCGCAGAGGCUUUGUGUUUUGUUUUGGGGUUUUUCGAAGUUUGUAGGCGGGAUAGUCGCGGGCUAGGCAGGCUAGGGGAAACGGCUCCGCCUCUCCCCUUUCAUCCCUAUUUAUACCCUAUAAUUUCCCCCUAGCCUGCCUAGCCCGCGACUAUUCUGCCUGCAAACUUCGAAAAAACCCAAAACAAAACACAAAGCCUCUGCGGAGGAGAGUGGACCGCCAGACGUAACAUACUUUUAAUAACUUAAUGUUACAAAUGGUUUCACAAGAUCUUGGUCACAAUUUUUUUCACUGGUAAAUUCGAAUUUCACUGGGAAAGUUAGGUGCUUGUAGGUUCGUUCCGGCCAAAUAUUAGAAAAUCUGAACUGGGAAUUACCUAUAUUGAAGAUAUUUUAAAGAAAAGAGAAACCUUUAUUAUCUUCAAGAUUUAUUCACCUAAAUGUAAAGCUAUGUGAAAACAAACUAAACUGUACUUAUUCUAUAACAAGUACUAGUUAAAACAUUCGCAUCCAAUAUUUAUCUGAUAUACAAACUCGAGAAACGACCUUACAAAACGACCCAUCCUAUGAGUUCAUUGGCGAAGUAAUUUUAAAAAUAAACAUUGUCUAAGCCGAGAAAAUCAAAGCUGAAGUUUAUGUAAAUCAGGACAAAUCUUUAUCCGAU